CGGUAAAGAUUUACAGAUAACUUAUCUGGUUUUCGUGGAUGGAAUAUAUAAAGUAAACAAUCUGAAUACGUGACACAGUUCUUUCGUAGUAACCUGUUGAUCACGACUCUCAGAAAAUGAAUAAAUUUCUGGCCAUCGCUGUUGUUCUGUCUGUGGGUAAGUUAUUGAUAUUCAUAACAGAGAAAAGUGUAGUUUUCAGUUGGACUUUAUGAAUUUAAUGAUACUGAUAUUGGAUGUGCUUACAACCUUUUAGAAACAACAGAUAAUUAAGGUAACAUAGAUGUUGUCGAUGUUGGAUUUGGUUUUAACAUCAACUGACCCUGCUUCGAAGUAAACCAACACACUGAAAAAUAUAACUUGCUAGUCACAAGGUCACAGUCGCAUAUGUAACUGUUUCCUUCUACUUUUUCAAAGCUUUCCCUCAAAGGUGUUAAAUAUUAUUAAAUCAGAUAUUAUUACAGAAUGUGCUGUUGUGCAAUUUAAUCUUUAAAAUGUGAUUCAGUAACUUAGAGCAAUGUUUCUAUUAAAUGCAAUGAAACAGUAAAUAAUAAUGCUUUGCAUCAAGUUUUCCCUUGGUAUAUGUACAAAAUGGCCUACUUCUAUUAUUCAUUAUAUCUGUAGUUUUGAUACUAUUGAAGUUUGAAAAGUUCGUACAGAAAUGGCUGCAGAAGGGGUCAUAAACCUUAAAAAUUUAUUCUAUGUAAAAAAAUAUACAAGUUAUAAGUGAAAUUCAGUCUAAUUUUGUACAAAUUAUAAUGUGUACAGGCAUUUUUUGUACGAAUUACAAUUUGUACAAAGUAAAAAUACUAAUUUUAAUUUGUACAUUUGUAUGUCCCAUUUAGGGGUAGCUCAUGAUUAAGUUGAAGUCCAAUCAACUUGAAAUUAAACUUAGUAAAUAUGUUCCCUAUGAUAUGAUCUUUCUAAUUUAAAUGCCAAAAGAUAUAUUUCCCCCAUUUUCAUGGUCCACUGAACAUAGAAAAUGAUAGUGCAAAGUUCAGGUUAAAGUUUUUGGUCAAGGUAGUUUUUGAUUAAAUAAAGUUGAAGUCCAAUCAACUCGAAACUUAGUAAACAUGUUCUUUAUGAUAUGAUCUUUCUAAUUUAAAUGCCAAAUUAGAGAUUUCCUCCAAUUUUCACGGUCCAUUGAACAUAGAAAAUGAUAGGUCGGAUGGGGCAUCCAUGUACUUGGAACACAUUCUUGUGUUUGUAUAAUUUAUAAUGUGUACAAUCUGAUAACUAGUACACAACAUAAUACAUAUAUCUAGAUAACUAUAUAAUCAAGUCAGUUUUCAAUUGAUUCACAGUAACUUAUAAAAUAAAGCAGAUAUGGUAUGUUCGCUAAUGAGACAAAUAUUCCUAAAGACAAAAGGACAAAUUUAGAUGUGAAUUGUUACAUAUCGCCAUUAUUGCUGUCAACAAAAAGCAAAACCGAUACUCUUCAAUAAGUUAUAAAAUCCAACCAACGGUCUGAUGCCGCCUUGUUCACAUGUACAUUUAAUUCCAAUUGAAUUCGGACAUUCGAAUUCGACAAUUUGAAUUGCGUUCACACACUCUUCUUUUUUUAAUUCGAUUGGCUAAUUCGCAUUAGAAAUACGCUUUUGUUAAGGUAGAUCAUAAGUAUAUAUUUUUUGAGACAGAAUUUUCUUAUAAUUUGCAAAAAUAAAGAUUUUUCUAUGCUUUUUUCAAAAAUGUAAUAAAAAGUAUAGGUCACCGUGCUAUUUUUCAAGCUAUGAGUCGUUGAAAAUUGACUAAGUUUGGUUAGUUUGUACAUGAAAAAACACAUUAGACUAAGUGUGCAUAAAAAAAAUCUAUGAGAUAGAAUUUUGAAAUAAAUUGUGAGAAGAUAGGUUUCAUAAUAUGUUUUAAAAAUAAAUAAAAAGAAAACAUAGUGUCACCGAACUUGUUUUCUUGCUACAAGUAAUAAUAAAAAAAUCAUUAUUAGCCUAGUAUAAAUUUUGUACUUAAAGAGUUAUCUUCCCUUAAAAGGCUCAUUUGAAAACAAUGAUUUUAAAAACCAAAAUAUUUGAUAUCUGUUAAAAUGUUUUAAAUAAAACAAUAAAUUAACAAGUUUUAUUUAUAUAAAUAAACAGUCUAACCAUUAAAUUGCAAAUCUGUCUCCAAAUUUGAAGAUUUAGUCAAAUAACUAGACCGAUUUUGUACUGUGAUUAUACAAUCCAAGAUGGCGGUAUACCAUGAAUCUACCUUAAUACGAAUUAAAAGUUAACGUCGUUUGGACAGUUUAGCGAAUUGGACGCGCAUUGCAAUUCGAAUAUGAAUUCUAAUGCAAUUGGAUUAACAAUUUUUUCAUUGGCUAAAGUUGCCGUCAAAUCCACAGUUACCGGCGUAACUAAGGAGGGACCCGCAUUUUGAAUUGAUUGAAUCAACAAAUGUUUGAUUACUACUAUAUAAUCUAAAAUAAAACAACACCUACCUCGAAUUCGCCGUUUUAAUGUAAUUUUAUCCGAAUUUGAAGCGCACAGGUAUCGCAAUAACCUCCAGUUUGUAAGUUUUCAUUUGUAUGACGUCACGUUUAGCCAUGCUCUUUGUUUCCAAAACAUUCAGAAGUUUCGCGAUUUUUUUAUAUUUGUCAAAUUUGACAUUUUUUCAAUUUUUAUCGUAUUUUUUCUUUUUAUAAUGCAUUAGAAUCGGAAUAACAGUACUGUAUUUGAAGAGUUGCCACCGUCAAUUUUGAUUAGACGGUCGCAAAUCUCCGUUUUACUGUCUCCGCUACGCGUCGCCAGUAAAACUGCAUUUGCGACCGUACAAUUGACAGUUACAACUCUUCAACUACAGUACUGUUAUUCCUUAAUUGACGUUAGGACGUAAAACGUUUCGAAUGCAAAUUAUACUAAUUCCUAUUAUUCCAAUAUUCUUAAUACUUAAUAUAGGGGAACAUGAGGUAAUUCGCCACCAUAAAAGCUAUUCACGCUACUGCAUCUUCCCCACCCCCCCACCCACCCCACCCCACACAAAACAAAUUUCGUGAAACUUUUUCAUGUGAUAAUUAAGUGUAUACAGUGUUUAAAAUACCAAAUCAAUUGUAUGUUUAUACUCUAUGAUAAGAGGCGAAACUUGAAUAACUUUUCACAUCUUAUCUAAACUAGAACACACCCGUUCCAUAUCUUUGAUUUUACUGCCAUGCCAGAAUACCAGCAAAAAUAGUUAAAUAAUUCAUUAAUUCACCAUAUUAAACUGAGAAUGGAAAUAGUUUGCUACCAGAAGUCCACCUUGUCUCUAAUCCAAAAAAAAAAACAGGUUGAAGGAAUAAAUAAUACAAGUCACUAAAAUUAUAAGAUACACAGUUUUUCUCUGAUUUCAAAAUAUUUUUGUUUGAACCCUUCGACCUGCAACUUAUCAAUUAUUGGUAAUAUUAAUAAUUUGGAAAUAAAAGGUCCUGGAAUACAGUAUUUUUUUUAUUAUUAUCAACAGCAUUGUCCUUUAUUACUUAUAAAUAAAGUUGAAUUCUUUGAUUCGCUGUUUUACGCCAUGCUCGCUAACAAAUUGAAAAUUGUACCGUAUACGCCUUAUUUUAAGUCCAGAUUUUAAGUAUUCGUAUUUUGAUCUUAGAAAGUCUUACUGAUUAAAAUACUACAAUAGGAACAAUUUGACAAUGAUUGAAUUUAGUAGUGUCAACCCUGUGACUAAGACCCAUGUAUAUAGCAAAAUCCUAAAUACACCGUUUGGUUGUGCGCCUGUCAGAUGCGGAACGUACAGAUAAGGUAAUAGAUAACAGGUGAAUAUACUAUUGGUAUCGGUAUCGGAUGCGACCCGAAACUUGUAAAUUAUUGGCAAUAUUAAUUAUGUGGAAAACAAAAGGGUCUUGAGUGUUAUAAUUUUUAAUCUACACCAUUGUCCUAUAUUAGCUAUAUAUGUAGGACUCUAAAGUGCGAUGGUACUCUAAAGUGCGAUGGUCACGCUAAAGUGCGAUGGUCUACGCUAAAGUACGAUGGUUUAUCACGCUAAAGUGUGAUGGUUGUUUGUUUGCUAAAGUACAAUGGUAUAUCACGCUAAAGUGCGAUAGACCAAUAUGAUAAGGUUCGACGGCUUAAAAUGUACAUGGAUAAAAAAGAAAGUCUUUUUGCAAAAGCUAGUAUGCUAAAAGAAGGAAGAAAGAUACAAGGGGGACAGUCAAACUUAUAAAUCGAAAAUAAACUGACAACGCCAUGGCUAAAAAUUAAAAAGACAAACAAACAAACAAUAGUACACAUGACACAACAUAGAAAACUAAAGAAAAAGCAACACGAACCCCAUCAAAAACUUGGGGUAAUCUAGGUGCUCCGGAAGGUGAAGCAGAUCCUGCACCACAUGUGGCACCCGUCGUGUUGCUCGUGUUGUAACAAAUCCGGUAUGUUAAGGUAAAACAAAUGUGAUGACUUUAUGAUUUACCGGUAGUCUUAAGUGAUAGUUUCUAAAUUCAGAAGAUCGACCACAUUGUCGGAAUAAGUAACAUUUGUAUGAGGCGUUAAGCUUUAAUUUAAAAUGCGAGAAAAAGCGAUAUUCGUCGAGCUUUCUCAUUUUCCGUGAAAAAUACAUGUUAUAUUUUCCUACACUGUACAACCUAUGUUUUUAGCCGACAAUUUAUAAUUUACGCUUAAAAGCACGAAUCUUUAUUUUACUGACGUUUCUUUUUAAUAAAAUCGAUAUUAUUUUAAUGGAGACCGUUUUCUACCAAUAGAAGCAGGAUACACGAUACCUAUGCGUAAUUCUAUUUUGUAUCUAUAUAGUAAAAUGGUAGACUGCAGGACACACGUUCUUCUUCCAGCAUCCGAAAUAAAUAAACACAGUUGCUUCAGCCGACAAAGCACGAUUAGGUCUGAAAUUUAAUUUAAGUCAUGGACAUUUGGUUUAACAGUUGUCAAUCAUAUUUUAUUAAUUCUAAUGCAAUUAUUUUGUAACAAUUGUUUUGAUUGGAUUACAGCAAGCGUAAAAUUCUCUAUCUCCUUGUCUGUAACUAAGGAAGCCGACAUUUUGAAUUUCGGAAUGUAUUGACAUGUUAUUUCUACAAUCAUAAACAAAAAACUCACUUGUUGCGCCUAAAAAUCUUCUUUUUAUGAAAUUUUAUUACAUUCUGAAGCGACACAGAAGCCAGAAAAAGCCCGGUGUUUAUGUUUGACGGCGGAAGCAUACCUAUGACGUCACUAAGUGUAGGGACCAAAAGAAGAUAACAUCUUUUCGCGGAGUUUUCUUUAAUGAAGAUUUUACACUGAAAUUAUGAUUGAAAUUUAAUUAUGAACUUGUUUUGCAUUAGAAUAGAGAUAACUGUAUUGUAUUUGAAGCUUUUCGGACGUCCAUCGAUAGUUUUACUGUCGCAAAUACCCGUUUACCUGUCUCCGCUCUGCGUCGCCAGGUAAACUAAAUUUGCGACAGUAAAACUACCGAUGGACGUCCUUAAAGCUUCAAAUACAAAACAGUUAUCUCUUAAUUUAUCUUCCGGCAUAUUCAUAUUUGAUUUGUAUAAACAACUGUUAACGUCAUAAUCCAAGUACAAUUCUUCCGUCUAUACUUUCGCGGACCAUCGGACUUUAGCAUAUGGAGACAUCGCACUUUAGCGUGACCAUCGUACUUUAGCGUCCCCAUCGCACUUUAGAGUCCUACAUAUAUAUAAAGUUGAAUUCUUUGAUUUGUCGUUUUUUCCCAAUGACGGUUGACAAAUUGGAUCUCGUUAUUUUAGUAUUAUUUACAUAAUACUUGAAUAACUGGUCAUUAUCGUUAUAUAUGGACUGCCCACAGGACAGUGCCGUAACAGUGGUAUUGACUAAUAUAGUGAUAAUGACUGAGCCGAAGGCGAGGUCAUUAUCGCUGUCACAGUCAACACCCCUAUCCUGAGGGCAGUCCAUAUAUCACGAUAAUGACAAGUUAUUCAAAAACUAUUAUGUUUAUUUCAUUGAGGAACCAUGUUUUAGAAAAUUCUCAUAGAUUCAAAAUGUCCAAAGCAAACUCGAGUACAAUGUAGUUGUACGAUUUCUAUGGCAAAGAGUUAAAACCAGUCGUAGCAAUAACGCAUUCAUUUUAGUGCAAUUUUUCAGUAUAUGAAUACUAAAUCAAGUUCUCUAUAAUUUUAUAAUUUACCAAAACAUAUGGUAAACAAUUCAACAACUGAAAUAUAAUAUUGAAAACAGGAAAAUAUUUUAUUGAAGGGACAUCUCUCUAAACAGAGAAUCAACGCCCCAGCGGGCAUUAUCAUGUGAAAAUCCGUUAACGACCGGUUUUCUGGUCCGUUUCGUUGUUAAGGACCGAUGGAAUUUAUUACUGAAGAAUAAUGAAUGUCAUGUGGUCCCUUUUUAUCCAAUAAGAGAAGCUUAUUCUCAACCGAUAUGAAAUAAAGAUAAAUACAUGGUUUGAUUCACCAUAUCUAAGACUCACAUGAAUUAUUUAUUUUGCUGAAAGUUUGUCUUUUUGUCUUUAAGAAUAUAAUUAUCUUAUUGGCAGACUUACCAUAUCUGCUUAAUUCUAAUAGUAAAUGAAUUGAAAAUCGACCUGAUAAAAGAAAAUGAAAUAAGACAAGUUGAAAUUAAUAAUAUAACUAUUUAAAUACAGUUUUCAAACAUUUAAAAGCGGGGGCAAGUAUAGUAGUCAUCAACCAACAUUACACUCUUAGGUAAGUUUCAAAAAAAUGGUUUUAUAUUCAGCAAGAUGUUGAGAUUUUCUGAGAGAUGCAUUAUUUUUUCUAAUUUCAGGAGCGGUGUUGGUGUUAUCUGAGAGAUGCAAACACUACUCUGAUUGCACGAACACACAAUGUAUGGGAAAUGGAACCAGUCAUAUCAUAUGUGAACACGACGCAUGCACAUGUGUUACUCAUCUUUGUGAGUAUUAUAAUAUAGACUUUAUUCGGAUAUUUUUUUUUUUAGUUUUUAGGAAGGUCGAGAUUGUACAUCAGUUAUCCUUCUUCACAUGUGGUGCAGGAACCUUAACCUGACUUUACGCCAUGUUCUUAAUGGGGUUCGUUUUGUUCUGCUAGUCUUAAUUUUUUGUUGUUUUUUGUAUUCUGUUGCUUGUCUUGUUGUCGUUUUUCGUUCUUUUGCCGGCCCAAGGUGUUGUUAGUUUGUUUUCGACAUAUUUUUAAUGUUCCUUUAGUAUCUUUCGCCUCCCUUUUUCAUCUCUUUCCAUUUUCAAAGAAGUGUUAUAUUGGCUUUAGAUUUUUUUUUACCUAUCAUACCUGACUUUCAAGUUCAGUAUAAGCAAUUAGGUAUAACCUAGUUGGUAUUAUCAAGCUGUUCCCUAACCUUAGGUCAUACAGGUUCACAAGGUUAUCAAUAUCAUGACUUACUUGGUUCGCAAUCGUAUAAACACAGUAUCUUUGGCUGUUAUCUGCUCUUUGGUUGGUUGUUGUCUCUUUCACAUUAUCCCACAUUUCCAUUCUCAAUUUUAUGAAUAUUUUUCCAGCUUGUGAUGACGUAGCAGACUGUACCAACGCUGGACAAUGCCACAAACGUGAUAACCAUUACCAUUGUGUAGACCACAUAUGCCUCUGCCUUAAAGACGAUGUAAUUGACAAACCAGGAAAUUAAUAUCAUCUACAAACUUAUUAAUAAAAUUUGAAAAAUUAAAGAUUU
rnacentral:lncRNA from 1 species